CGCCCUGUGCGUAGGCGCUGUGUACCGCCAGAGGGUGGAAGAGCACGAGUUGAAGUUCCUCCGCAUAGCCUGGUGCCAGGAUCGCCUCCGCCUGCAACCUCC
rnacentral:SRP_RNA from 13 species